CUAAGUACACACUGGGCUCG
rnacentral:piRNA from 1 species